rnacentral:rRNA from 1 species
GCUUACGGCCACACCGGCCUGAGUACGCCUGAUCUCGUCCGAUCUCGGAAGCUAGCAGGGUCGGCCUGGUUAGUACUUGGAUGGGAGACCGCCUGGGAAUACCAGGUGCUGUAAGCU